UCCCGCCUGCCCAGUGACUCUUUAAACGGCCGCGGUAUCCUAACCGUGCAAAGGUAGCAUAAUCACUUGUCCCCUAAAUAGGGACUAGAAUGAACGGCUAAAUGAGGACAAAACUGUCUCUUACGGAUCAACCAAUGAAAUUGAUCUUCCAGUACAAAAGCUGGAAUAAACCCAUAAGACGAGAAGACCCUGUGGAGCUUUAAAACCAAAACCACCAAACAUGUUUCUUGGUUUUUUAGUUGGGGCGACUUUGGAGAAAAAAUAAUCCUCCAAACUAUAAACCCAUUUAUUAAGAAUAACACAUCAAAAAUAAUUAAAUAGACCCAGCAACAUUAUGUUGUCUGACCAAUGAACCAAGUUACCCCAGGGAUAACAGCGCCAUCCUCUUCUAGAGUCCCUAUCGACAAGGGGGUUUACGACCUCGAUGUUGGAUCAGGACACCCCUAUAGUGCAGCCGCUUUAAAAGGUUCGUUUGUUCAACGAUUAAAGUCCUACGUGAU
rnacentral:rRNA from 1 species